UCGGAGGUGAAAUCCUGCAGCUCAACUGUAGAAUUGCCUUUGAUACUGUUAGACUUGAGUUAUUGUGAAGUGGUUAGAAUGUGUGGUGUAGCGGUGAAAUGCAUAGAUAUCACAAAGAAUACCAAUUGCGAAGGCACAUCACUGACUCUAUACUGACGCUCAGGGACGAAAGCGUGGGUAGCGAACAGGAUUAGAUACCCUGGUAGUCCACGCCGUAAACGAUGGAUACUAGAUGUUUGACUAAUUUUUUUAGAUGUGUGGCUAAACGAAAGUGAUAACCCCCCCGCCGGGGGAACCCCACCGCAAAAUUGAAAAUCAAUUGAAUUGACGG
rnacentral:rRNA from 1 species